CCUACGGGGGGCAGCAGUGGGGGAUAUUGCACAAUGGGGGAAACCCUGAUGCAGCGACGCCGCGUGAGUGAAGAAGUAUUUCGGUAUGUAAAGCUCUAUCAGUAGGGAAGAAAAUGACAGUACCUGACCAAGAAGCCCCGGCUAAAGACGUGCCAGCAGCCGCGGUAAUACGUCGGGGGCAAGCGGUAUCCGGAUUUACUGGGUGGAAAGGGAGCGUAGACGGUUAUGUAAGUAUGGAGUGAAAGCCCGGGGCCCAACCCCGGGACUGCUUUGGAAACUGGGUAACUGGAGUACAGGAGGGGCAGGCGGAAUUCCUGGUGUAGCGGUGAAAUGCUUAGAUAUCAGGAGGAACACCGGCGGCGAAGGCGGCUCUCUGGUCUGUAACUGACGCUGAGGUUCGAAAGCGUGGGUAGCAAACAGGAUUAGAUACCCGAGUAGUC
rnacentral:rRNA from 1 species